CGCGGCCUAUCAGCUUGUUGGUGAGGUAACGGCUCACCAAGGCAUCGACGGGUAGCUGGUCUGAGAGGAUGAUCAGCCACACUGGGACUGAGACACGGCCCAGACUCCUACGGGAGGCAGCAGUAGGGAAUAUUGCACAAUGGGCGAAAGCCUGAUGCAGCAACGCUGCGUGCGGGAAGAAGGCCCUAGGGUUGUAAACCGCUUUCAGCAGGGAAGAAAAUGACGGUACCUGCAGAAGAAGGUGCGGCCAACUACGUGCCAGCAGCCGCGGUGACACGUAGGCACCAAGCGUUGUCCGGAUUUAUUGGGCGUAAAGAGCUCGUAGGCGGUUCAGUUAGUCGGGUGUGAAAACUCUGGGCUCAACCCAGAGACGCCACUCGAUACUGCUGUGACUAGAGUGCGGUAGGGGAGCGGGGAAUUCCUAGUGUAGCGGUGAAAUGCGCAGAUAUUAGGAGGAACACCAGUGGCGAAGGCGCCGCUCUGGGCCGUAACUGACGCUGAGGAGCGAAAGCGUGGGUAGCAAACAGGAUUAGAUACCCUGGUAGUCCACGCCGUAAACGUUGGGCACUAGGUGUGGGUCUCAACCAACGAGAUCCGCGCCGUCGCUAACGCAUUAAGUGCCCCGCCUGGGGAGUACGG
rnacentral:rRNA from 1 species